GCACCAGUAAAUUUCUCAACGUAUAAAUACUACCUUGGUCUUGCAACUACUGGGCAUUCUAUAGUCUCCCUGCAUAUCACAAAUGAAUUAAGUAACGCGGGACCACCGUACUGGGGCAGUGAAUCAGUUGCCAGAUUUGUUUUCCCAGUAAACACAGUUGGCGUCUACACAGUGUACGUGAAAGACGGCAACCCGGUCGACGUAUACAUUCAAUUGAAUUACGGGAAGAGGUCAUCGAAAGUAUACUUCACCAAUAAAGUCGCGCAGGGCCAAGAACUUUGCUUCGUCGUGACGUUGGCAUCCAAGGAUUUUAUGAUCUCCAACGACUUCGACUCUGAGAAACCGGUCACCUUCUUGGAAAUGUCGGCGCCCAACUACGUGACUGCAUACUUCCCCGCUGAGCUCGUCCUAAAAAAACUCGAAGUGGUGAGCACCAGACCUUACUAGAGAAGGCGACGAGCGGUUUUCGUACUUCUUCACAAGGCGUAUGAACGUCUCCGUUUCACUUUAUUGCAGAACAUUAUCCUAAACGGAGGUUCCCUUUGAAAGGAAAUAAAUUGUUUUACUGACAAA